CAACAGGGAUUGCCCCAGUAACGGCGAGUGAAGCGGCAGCAGCUCAAAUUUGAAAUCCGGCCGCCCCCGGGGGGCCCGAGUUGUAAUUUGCAGAGGACGCUUCAGGCGCGGCGCCUUCCGAGUUCCCUGGAACGGGACGCCACAGAGGGUGAGAGCCCCGUACGGUCGGACGCCCAGCCGGUGUGAAGCUCCCUCGACGAGUCGAGUAGUUUGGGAAUGCUGCUCAAAACGGGAGGUAUAUGUCUUCUAAAGCUAAAUACCGGCCAGAGACCGAUAGCGCACAAGUAGAGUGAUCGAAAGAUGAAAAGCACUUUGAAAAGAGGGUCAAACAGUACGUGAAAUUGUUGAAAGGGAAGCGCUCGCGACCAGACUUGGGCCCGGUGGAUCACCCGGCGUUCUCGCCGGCGCACUCCGCCGGGCCCAGGCCAGCAUCAGCUCGCCGCGGG
rnacentral:rRNA from 1 species